GGAGCCGCCCGGGCGAACGCGUCGGUCCUGCAGGGAAGGGGGCCGCCGAGGAAAGUCCGGGCACCACAGGGCAGCGUGCCGGCCAACGGCCGGUCGGGGCGACCCGCAGGAAAGUGCCACAGAGAACAGACCGCCGAACGGCGCCGGGCGACCGGCGUGCGUGGCAAGGGUGAAACGGUGCGGUAAGAGCGCACCGCGCGCCGGGUGACCGGCGCGGCACGGCAAACCCCACGCGGUGCAAGAGCGAAUAGGGAGGCGUCCCACCCGCGCGAGCGGGAGGGCAAGACCGGCCCGGUCCAGGCCUCCGGGUAUGCUCGCUGGAGACGCGCGGCAACGCGCGUCCGAGAUGAAUGUUCGUCGCCGCGGGGUUUCCCGCGGAACAGAACCCGGCUUACAGGGCGGCUCCGGUC
rfam:Anaeromyxobacter dehalogenans 2CP-C, complete genome.